rnacentral:rRNA from 1 species
GAUGAACGCUGGCGGCGUGCCUAAUACAUGCAAGUCGAGCGAAUGGAUUAAGAGCUUGCUCUUAUGAAGUUAGCGGCGGACGGGUGAGUAACACGUGGGUAACCUGCCCAUAAGACUGGGAUAACUCCGGGAAACCGGGGCUAAUACCGGAUAACAUUUUGAACCGCAUGGUUCGAAAUUGAAAGGCGGCUUCGGCUGUCACUUAUGGAUGGACCCGCGUCGCAUUAGCUAGUUGGUGAGGUAACGGCUCACCAAGGCAACGAUGCGUAGCCGACUUGAGAGGCUGAUCGGCCACACUGGGACUGAGACACGGCACAGACUCCUACGGGAGGCAGCAGUAGGGAAUCUUCCGCAAUGGACGAAAGUCUGACGGAGCAACGCCGCGUGAGUGAUGAAGGCUUUCGGGUCGUAAAACUCUGUUGUUAGGGAAGAACAAGUGCUAGUUGAAUAAGCUGACACCUUGACGUUACCUAACCAGAAAGCCACGGCUAACUACGUGCCAGCCGCCGCGGUAA